CCUACGGGUGGCUGCAGUAAGGAAUAUUGGUCAAUGGACGCAAGUCUGAACCAGCCAUGCCGCGUGGAGGAUGAAGGUCCUCUGGAUUGUAAACUUCUUUUCUCUGGGGCGAAAACCUCCUAUUCUUAGGGGCUUGACAGUACCAGAGGAAUAAGCACCGGCUAACUCCGUGCCAGCAGCCGCGGUAAUACGGAGGGUGCAAGCGUUAUCCGGAUUCACUGGGUUUAAAGGGUGCGUAGGCGGGCAGGUAAGUCAGUGGUGAAAUCUCCGGGCUU
rnacentral:rRNA from 1 species